GGGGUAACGGCCUACCAAGGCUCCGACGGGUAGCCGGCCUGAGAGGGCGACCGGCCACACUGGGACUGAGACACGGCCCAGACUCCUACGGGAGGCAGCAGUGGGGAAUAUUGCGCAAUGGGCGAAAGCCUGAUGCAGCGACGCCGCGUGAGGGAUGACGGCCUUCGGGUUGUAAACCUCUUUCAGCAGGGACGAAGCGCAAGUGACGGUACCUGCAGAAGAAGCACCGGCCAACUACGUGCCAGCAGCCGCGGUAAUACGUAGGGUGCAAGCGUUGUCCGGAAUUAUUGGGCGUAAAGAGCUCGUAGGCGGCUUGUUACGUCGGCUGUGAAAACCUGGGGCUCAACCCCGGGCCUGCAGCCGAUACGGGCAAGCUAGAAUUCGGUAGGGGAGACUGGAAUUCCUGGUGUAGCGGUGAAAUGCGCAGAUAUCAGGAGGAACACCGGUGGCGAAGGCGGGUCUCCGGGCCGAUAUUGACGCUGAGGAGCGAAAGCGUGGGGAGCGAACAGGAUUAGAUACCCUGGUAGUCCACGCCGUAAACGUUGGGCGCUAGGUGUGGGCCACAUUCCACGUGGUCUGUGCCGCAGCUAACGCAUUAAGCGCCCCGCCUGGGGAG
rnacentral:rRNA from 1 species